GCUGUGACAUCACCCGAAAGGAAGGCUUCUCCCCCACCCCCGAUUUGGAUCUGGUCCGUGCCUCACUUUGCCACCCCUGCCUCAGAGGCCGGGGGUUGACCCUUUGAAUAUGCUUCAGCAGAAGGAAGUGAUUUGCUGGAAUGAAUGAGCCCGUGCCGAUCAAACGCCGUCGGUGGAACGUGAAAAUCUCAAGAGCUGAGCGGCAGUCGCAGCUGGGAGGCUGAGGACUGGAGCGGUGAAAAACCGGGCGACCUCCGUGGACGCGCGAACAAACACCGGCUCCAGUUUCAGUGACAUCUUUUUGGGUUCAAUAAAGGAGACACCUUGAGUUUCUGCAGUUAAAGAAGUGGCGCAAACACCCGGCAUCAAACCCCUGAUUAGUCUCAAGUGGUCUCUUAUGUCUUUGAUGAUAAGUAAAAAUCCAUCAAGUGAAGCAUUUGUACUAUCCAGAUGUCACACACAGCAUGCAAAUUUGCAGUCUUCCCGAGGACAAGGGAUGUACAACUGUGUUGAGUCUCCUAGGUGGCUUUUGGUAUAACUGUCCAAGACAUCCUUCAAGACCCCAUUUACUAUGAAGUAAAACUCCCAUUUGUCACAAGAAAAUUUGCAUCUGAAUAGACAUGCACAGCAUUGUGUUUUUCUCUUUAGUCCUUCACUUUCUCAAUCAGUCCACAGCCAUCCCAGCAAAGUCAACAAUGGGUUACCAAGGCACUUUCCUCUCCAAAACCAGACCUCCAACCAGAAUUAAAAGGGACCAGAUCUGUCUUAUUGAAGAAAUAUGUGGUUUUAUUAUGUGAUUAUUCCAUGUUGGAAUUGUAAACUUGUAUGUCUUGUUUUAAUUGCCAUAGCUGCUAAGUGCCCUUUGUGGAGAAAGCAAGAUAGUGUUUUAAAAACCCAAAUAAAUACAUGUGGUUCAUAAACUGGCAACCCCAAGGUGCAUAGUGGUACAGUAAUACAGUCAAAACUCUGCUCACUACCUGUGUUUAAUCCUGACAGAAGAUGGUUUAGGUAGCUGGCUCAAGGUUGAUUCAGCCUUCCAUUCUUCUGAGGUGGCUGUGGCAAAGUGUAGAUCACUGGGGAAUGCAAUGACAAACCACUCCAAAAACAGUCUACCUAGUAAACGUUGUGAUGUGAUGUCACCCCAUGGGUCAAUAAUGACCUAGUGCUUGCGUAGGGGACUAUCUGUAUCUUUUUACCUUAUAAAUUAAACUGUUUCUCAGUUUCAUUAAUUAAAAGAUUAUUGGCAGCUUUCUACUUCAAUUGAAAAUAGCUUGUAAGAUCUUCAUCUUGCAAAACAUCUAACAGAGGCCCUAAUAUUGUGUUUUGGAUCAGAGGUGUCUGCAUUCUUCUGUUCUGUUAGCCUUAUUCACACAGUUCUUCUGUUUAGUCAAAGUCUGGAUUAUCUAAACAUCGGAGGUGCCUCCCAGGUCAUUUCAACGCUUCAGAUUGUCUUGGUUUCUUGUGGUCAGCAGAUCCUUUUGCAACACAGCAUGAUGUGACUGGUGCAGGCAGUGAACAGCCUCAGCUGAAAACCACAAUUGCAUGACAUUUACAAAUGAAGCCAACACAGAGUUUCAUAAUUGUACUUCUAAGGUUUCUUUUUUGGCAGUACGACCUUUCUUUUGCCAUGUAAGGUUAUGAAGUGUAGCCUACUGUUAACAGUGCUACAUGGAUCAUGGUUUAUAUUGCUUAUUUCCUUUAUUAAGCUGGCCGCAACGUCUCCCUCAUUUUACCCUUUCUUCCCUUCUUUGUAGACACUCCAUAGCCUCUGUAUACAUUUUCACGUCAGGGAUUGGAGGCGGCAUGGUAUAGCCUCAUCCAAUCAGUUCUCAGAAACUAAGCAGGGCCAGUGUUUGGAAGGGAGACCACCAAGCAAGACUGUAUAGAGGAAUUCAAUGGCAAAACACCUCUGCUUCUUACUGGCCUUAAAAACUCUUUACUGGGUUUGCCAUAAGUCAGCUGUGACUUUACAGCACUUUACACACACACAUAGCAGACUUCAGUAAAGGAUCCAGAACUGAUGUCUUGUGAAUUUUAUCUUCCAUUCCAGCAGCAGAGAACUGCUAUGUGCAUGCAAAACCCAACUAAACAACUUGGUUUAGAAACUGGACACAUUUUCCAUGUGCAAAUGUUAAAUCCUUUGCAAUUCUCCAGAGACAGUUAGCAGUUAGACCCAUGAUGGCUGAAAGAGCCAGGAUUUCAAAUUUAACUUAGGCCAAACUAUUGCUUAUGACAGAACUGUUAGUGCAUUUUGAGAACAUAAAAAGAACUCUACUAGAACAGAUGAGUGCUCCACCUACUCGAUCAUCCUCCUUUGCACAGUAGCCAACCAGUUGCCCUGGAGGGUGAAACAAACAGCUAUAGAAGACAAGGCAUUUCCCUGCUGUCCCUUCCCAGCUCUAGUAGUCAGAGGUUUACUGUCUCUGAAUGUGGAGGUUCACUCUGGUCACAUGGUUAGUAUCACCAAUGGAUCAUGAAUCUUUCUAUCCCUCUACUUCCGUUCCCCUGGCCAUCACUAUAGCCACAGGCUGUAAAUUCCACAAUGUAAAUUACUUAUUGAAUUAAAAAAAUUCUUCCUUUUCUCUGUUCUGCAUCUGUUGUCCAUUAUUUGGCCUGGAGAAAAAUUAAUUUAAUAGAGGCUUAAUGUGUGGAAAUGGGCAGUUGACUUUUUUAAUGGCUUAGAAGUAACAUCACUUGGUAAAUAACAUUCCAUCAAGUCUUUGCUUAAGGAACAUGAUUUUUUUUUCUCUAGGCAAUCCUACACUAUGGAAGUGGGAGAAAAAGUUCUCUAUAUCUACUUUCUCCAUCCCAUGCAUAAUUUUAUAGUUUUCUAUUGUGCCCCCUUAGCCAUUGCUUUUUCUAAACCGAAAAACCAAUAUAGAAAUAAUGAAAGUAGGUCAGAUGUGCCCUGUAAACCUUAAGUGCCCAUCCAGUGCGAAAUCCUGUAAUAGAACAGAGACUGAGUUAUCUUUUAUUUAUUUAUAUUUAUUUAUAUAUCAAAUUUAAUAUACCGCCCCAUCCUUAAAGGGUUUUCUGAAUGGGUUACCAUGUUUAUCUGUUAUGGGACUCUGCCAAUCCACUCAGUAGGUAACAGUAUUCAACAUUGCACCUUUAUAUUAUGUACCUGUUAGGUCUUGAACC